rnacentral:rRNA from 1 species
GACGAACGCUGGCGGCGUGCUUAACACAUGCAAGUCGAACGGAAAGGCUCCAGCUUGCUGGAGUACUCGAGUGGCGAACGGGUGAGUAACACGUGGGUAAUCUGCCCUGCACUCUGGGAUAAGCCUGGGAAACUGGGUCUAAUACUGGAUAUGACCUUUCUCCUUAUGGGGUUUGGUGGAAAGUUUUUCGGUGUAGGAUGAGCCCGCGGCCUAUCAGCUUGUUGGUGGGGUGAUGGCCUACCAAGGCGACGACGGGUAGCCGGCCUGAGAGGGUGAUCGGCCACAAUGGGACUGAGAUACGGGCCAGACUCCUACGGGAGGCAGCAGGGGGGAAUAUUGCACAAUGGGCGGAAGCCUGGAUCAACGACGCCGCGUGGGGGAUGACGGCCUUCGGGUUGUAAACCUCUUUCAGCAGGGACGAAGCGUAAGUGACGGUACCUGCAGAAGAAGCACCGGCUAACUAUGUG